GUUUUAAUAGUUUAAAAUUAAAACAUUGGUCUUGUAUACCAAAAAUAAGAACUUUCUUUUAAAACU
rnacentral:tRNA from 1 species